rnacentral:rRNA from 1 species
GUGAGGAAUAUUGCGCAAUGGAGGCAACUCUGACGCAGCCAUGCCGCGUGCAGGAAGAAGGCGCUACGCGUUGUAAACUGCUUUUAACCGGGAAGAAACCCCAGGACGUGUCCUGGGUUGACGGUACCGGAGGAAUAAGCACCGGCUAACUUCGUGCCAGCAGCCGCGGUAAUACGAAGGGUGCAAGCGUUAUCCGGAUUCAUUGGGUUUAAAGGGUGCGUAGGCGGAGCGUUAAGUCAGUGGUGAAAUCCUGCAGCUUAACUGUAGACUUGCCAUUGCUACUGGCGCGCUUGAGUGCGCUUGAAGUGGGCGGAAUGUGCCGUGUAGCGGUGAAAUGCUUCGAUAUGGCACAGAACACCAAUUGCGAAGGCAGCUCACUAAGGCGAUACUGACGCUGAGGCACGAAAGCGUGGGGAUCGAACAGGAUUAGAAACCCGUGUAGUCC